UGCUGCUUCGCUGACGAGUGGCGGACGGGUGAGUAAUGUCUGGGAAACUGCCUGAUGGAGGGGGAUAACUACUGGAAACGGUGGCUAAUACCGCAUAACGUCGCAAGACCAAAGAGGGGGACCUUCGGGCCUCUUGCCAUCAGAUGUGCCCAGAUGGGAUUAGCUUGUUGGUGAGGUAACGGCUCACCAAGGCGACGAUCCCUAGCUGGUCUGAGAGGAUGACCAGCCACACUGGAACUGAGACACGGUCCAGACUCCUACGGGAGGCAGCAGUGGGGAAUAUUGCACAAUGGGCGCAAGCCUGAUGCAGCCAUGCCGCGUGUAUGAAGAAGGCCUUCGGGUUGUAAAGUACUUUCAGCGGGGAGGAAGGUGUUGUGGUUAAUAACCGCAGCAAUUGACGUUACCCGCAGAAGAAGCACCGGCUAACUCCGUGCCAGCAGCCGCGGUAAUACGGAGGGUGCAAGCGUUAAUCGGAAUUACUGGGCGUAAAGCGCACGCAGGCGGUCUGUCAAGUCGGAUGUGAAAUCCCCGGGCUCAACCUGGGAACUGCAUUCGAAACUGGCAGGCUUGAGUCUUGUAGAGGGGGGUAGAAUUCCAGGUGUAGCGGUGAAAUGCGUAGAGAUCUGGAGGAAUACCGGUGGCGAAGGCGGUCCCCUGGACAAAGACUGACGCUCAGGUGCGAAAGCGUGGGGAGCAAACAGGAUUAGAUACCCUGGUAGUCCACGCCGUAAACGAUGUCUACUUGGAGGUUGUGCCCUUGAGGCGUGGCUUCCGGAGCUAACGCGUUAAGUAGACCGCCUGGGGAGUACGGCCGCAAGGUUAAAACUCAAAUGAAUUGACGGGGGCCCGCACAAGCGGUGGAGCAUGUGGUUUAAUUCGAUGCAACGCGAAGAACCUUACCUGGUCUUGACAUCCACAGAACUUUCCAGAGAUGGAUUGGUGCCUUCGGGAACUGUGAGACAGGUGCUGCAUGGCUGUCGUCAGCUCGUGUUGUGAAAUGUUGGGUUAAGUCCCGCAACGAGCGCAAC
rnacentral:rRNA from 1 species